rnacentral:rRNA from 1 species
GAUGAACGCUGGCGGCGUGCCUAAUACAUGCAAGUCGAGCGAACGGACGAGAAGCUUGCUUCUCUGAUGUUAGCGGCGGACGGGUGAGUAACACGUGGAUAACCUACCUAUAAGACUGGGAUAACUUCGGGAAACCGUAGCUAAUACCGGAUAAUAUAUUGAACCGCAUGGUUCAAUAGUGAAAGACGGUCUUGCUGUCACUUAUAGAUGGAUCCGCGCUGCAUUAGCUAGUUGGUAAGGUAACGGCUUACCAAGGCAACGAUGCGUAGCCGACCUGAGAGGGUGAUCGGCCACACUGGAACUGAGACACGGUCCAGACUCCUACGGGAGGCAGCAGUAGGGAAUCUUCCGCAAUGGGCGAAAGCCUGACGGAGCAACGCCGCGUGAGUGAUGAAGGUCUUCGGAUCGUAAAACUCUGUUAUUAGGGAAGAACAAAUGUGUAAGUAACUGUGCACAUCUUGACGGUACCUAAUCAGAAAGCCACGGCUAACUACGUG